GAUCAUGGCUCAGGAUGAACGCUAGCGGCAGGCUUAACACAUGCAAGUCGAGGGGCAACGCGAGUAGCAAUACUUGGCGGCGACCGGCGCAAGGGUGCGUAACGCGUGAGCAACAUGCCCGUAUCAGGGGGAUAAUCCAGGGAAACUUGGUCUAAUACCCCAUAGUAAUUUUGUAAGGCAUCUUAUAAGAUUUAAAGCUUUGGUGGAUACGGAUUGGCUCGCGUGACAUUAGCUGGAUGGUAAGGUAACGGCUUACCAUGGCUAUGAUGUCUAGGGGUUCUGAGAGGAAGGUCCCCCACACUGGAACUGAGACACGGUCCAGACUCCUACGGGAGGCAGCAGUGAGGAAUAUUGGACAAUGGAUGGAAAUCUGAUCCAGCCAUGCCGCGUGAAAGGAAGAAGGUCCUAUGGAUUGUAAACUUCUUUUGUAUGGGAGCAAUAAGGCCUACGAGUAGGCUGAUGAGAGUACCAUACGAAUAAGCACCGGCUAACUCCGUGCCAGCCGCUGC
rnacentral:rRNA from 1 species